CGAAAGGGAAUACGGUUCCAAUUCCGUAACCUGUUGAGUAUACGUUUGUUUAUUAAAAAUGGGUCUUAUUACACUCAUCCUGGCAACAGGAACGACCAUAGAGAAGCCUUCGAGAGAUACUGGAAGAGUUUUCUUUUCUGCUAAACAAGCGUACCACCAUGGAAGUCUUUUAUAGAGAGAUAUGGUGGAUGGUUUGGAAGAGCAUGACAUUUACUGUUGUGUCAGUAUUUUCUCCUUGGACCUUGAAAAUCUAUGGUGGGGCCACGCAAACUUCUCAACAGACCGUACCGAUAUCCGCAGCCGGUCUCCAAGGUGAAGAGUCUCUAGUCGAUAGAAUAAUGUAGGUAAGGGAAGUCGGCAAAUUAGAUCCGUAACUUCGGGAUAAGGAUUGGCUCUGAAGAUUGAGAUUGUCGGGCUUGAUUGGGAAACAUUUAUAACGGUUAAUGUGCUCGUUCUGGGUAAAUAGGGUUGGUGUUCUGCAUCGAUCUGUUCCCCGGAUAGAAGAUUUCAUAGCCAAAAUGUGGAACUUUCUUGCUAUGAUGGUGGAGGGCUUCACGGCUCUCCAUCAAAAACGAUUAUCAAUAAACAAUUAAUUCAGAACUGGCACGGACCUGGGGAAUCCGACUGUCUAAUUAAAACAAAGCAUUGUGAUGGCCCUAGCGGGUGUUGACACAAUGUGAUUUCUGCCCAGUGCUCUGAAUGUCAAA
rnacentral:rRNA from 13 species